UACGAAGGGGGCUAGCGUUGUUCGGAAUUACUGGGCGUAAAGCGCGCGCAGGCGGUCUUCCAAGUCAGUGGUGAAAGCCCGGAGCUCAACUCCGGAACUGCCAUUGAAACUGUGAGACUUGAGGAUGAGAGAGGUGAGUGGAAUUCCCAGUGUAGAGGUGAAAUUCGUAGAUAUUGGGAAGAACGCCGGUGGCGAAGGCGGCUCACUGGCUCAUUUCUGACGCUCAGGCGCGACAGCGUGGGGAUCAAACAGG
rnacentral:rRNA from 1 species